rnacentral:rRNA from 1 species
CAGUCGCCGCGGUAAUACGAAGGGUGCAAGCGUUACUCGGAAUUACUGGGCGUAAAGCGUGCGUAGGUGGCGGUUUAAGUCCGUUGUGAAAGCCCUGGGCUCAACCUGGGAAUUGCAGUUGAUACUGGGUCACUAGAGUGUGGUAGAGGAUAGUGGAAUUUCCGGUGUAGCAGUGAAAUGCGUAGAGAUCGGAAGGAACAUCUGUGGCGAAGGCGACUAUCUGGGCCAACACUGACACUGAGGCACGAAAGCGUGGGGAGCAAACAGGAUUAGAUACCCCUGUAGUCCCUGUCUCUUAUAC